GUUCUUGUAGUUGAAUAACAACGGUGGUUUUUCAAGUCAUUGGUCCUGGUUGAAGUCCGGGCAGGAAUU
rnacentral:tRNA from 1 species